UCCAACAGUGAAGACCAAAGGAUGCCCCUGUCCCUGCUGCUGAGGAAGAGAAGCAGGCCUGUAGCAACGAGGAUAAUGCAGAAACCAAGAUGGAGGAUAAUGUGGAAACGAGACCAGAUUCCAUAAAGACUGGUAUGGAGUCAUCGUUCCAGGCCAACAACCCAGUGGGAAGAGAAUUCAUUAAACCUGUCAUUGGCUACUUCUGCGACCUGUGUCAAGUCAUCUAUGUCAAUGAGGACGAAGCAAGGAACCAACACUGCAGCAGCCUCUGUCACUAUCUGAAGUUUAUGGAACAUUCAGGUGAGACACAGCCUCUAGCUAAAAGAUGUCCAU